rnacentral:lncRNA from 1 species
CCUUGGAGGGGCUGCUCGGGGCUGGGGGGAUGCUCAGGGCUGGGGGAAUGUCCAAGCUGGGAGAUGGAGGAGUUCGGAGUGAUGGGUGGGACAAGGGGCUGCUGGAAUUGGGAGAUGCAGGAGUUGGGAGAUGCUCGGGGUGAGGGAAAGCAGGAGUUGGGAGAUACAGGGGUGAUCCCCACCUGGAGGGCGAUGCCUGUGGUAGGGGCGGUGUUGGGACGCUCCGGGAAUGCUCAGGUUGGGAUGGGGCGGUGCUUCAGGUCAGGAGGACGCUCAGGACAAGAUAAUGGAAAUUUGGGGCUGGGGAGUACCCGGGAUGGGCAGAGCUGGGACACGGCUGGGGCCGGGGGCAUGCUGUCCUCCCCGGGCGCUGCCAGCCCCCGUUGCCCGCAGCCUGAAGCGCUCCGGGGAGGACAAGGAGCAGCGGCUGGCGCUGCUGGAGGCGGCGCGGGCGGCGGCCGAGCGGGAGGUGUCGGAGCUGCGGGCGGCGCUGCGGGGGCUGGAGCGCGCCCGCCUGGAGAGCCGCCGGGAGCUGCAGGAGCUGCGCCGCCAGGUGAAGGAGCUGGACAGCGAGAACAGCCGGCGGGGCCGGGAGCUGGGGGAGCUGCAGGCGCGGGUGGCCCUGGAGGAGCAGCGGGAGCAGCGCAGCCGCCGCGAGGCCUCUGGCCUCAGGCAGAAGGUGGCCGAGAGCGAGGCCGGCACCGAGGCUGCCAGGAAGGAGCUGCAGCAGCUGCAGCAGCGCCUGGCGGCGGCGGAGCAGGAGUUCCGGCGGCGGGAGCAGGAGCUGUCCCGCAGCCUGGAGGAGGCGCGGGGCAAUGAGAAGAAGCUGCUGGCGGACGCUCGGAACCUGCAGCUCAAGGUGGAGGCGGCGCGGGCCGAGGUGGCCGAGCUGGGGCUGCGGCUGAGCGCGGCGCAG